rnacentral:rRNA from 1 species
UACAGAGGUGGCAAGCGUUGUUCGGAAUUACUGGGCGUAAAGGGCGCGUAGGCGGCCAUCUAAGCCAGACGUGAAAUCCCCCGGCUUAACCUGGGAACUGCGUCUGAUACUGGACGGCUCGAGUUUGGGAGAGGGAUGCAGAAUUCCAGGUGUAGCGGUGAAAUGCGUAGAUAUCUGGAGGAAUACCGGUGGCGAAGGCGGCAUCCUGGACUAAUACUGACGCUGAGGCGCGAAAGCUAGGGGAGCAAACGGG